GACGAACGCUGGCGGCGUGCUUAACACAUGCAAGUCGAACGGAAAGGCCCUGCUUUUGUGGGGUGCUCGAGUGGCGAACGGGUGAGUAACACGUGAGUAACCUGCCCUUGACUUUGGGAUAACUUCAGGAAACUGGGGCUAAUACCGGAUAGGAGCUCCUGCUGCAUGGUGGGGGUUGGAAAGUUUCGGCGGUUGGGGAUGGACUCGCGGCUUAUCAGCUUGUUGGUGGGGUAGUGGCUUACCAAGGGUUUGACGGGUAGCCGGCCUGAGGGGGUGACCGGCCACAUUGGGACUGAGAUACGGCCCAGACUCCUACGGGAGGCAGCAGUGGGGAAUAUUGCACAAUGGGCGGAAGCCUGAUGCAGCAACGCCGCGUGCGGGAUGACGGCCUUCGGGUUGUAAACCGCUUUCGCCUGUGACGAAGCGUGAGUGACGGUAAUGGGUAAAGAAGCACCGGCUAACUACGUG
rnacentral:rRNA from 1 species